GGAGGUACCUGUGAGGUGGCAGGUUCACACACCAGCUCUGGUGCCCAGAGAGCCCCUGGAGGGUCCAGUGCUGCCAGGAGCUGGCAUUCCAGUUGGGAUUGCCAUGGGAGAGGAUGGAUCCCUUUGGAAUUGUAAAACACAUGCCCUUUGCUCCACCUUGGGAAGGCAGUGGCUGCUGGAGCACAGCCAAGCUCCCCCAGCAGGUAUAAACUGGCAUUUGAAAUCCUCCUUGGCAGAGGAGGAAAACACAACCACCUCACAUUCAAGUGCCUGGGCUUGCACCUCACUCCUCCGAGCAUCUCUUUGGUAAGAUUUGUGCCUCUGACUGUGUCAGAGGAUCCCUGGGAACACUUGCACAUGGUGCUACACAUUUAUAUUUUGGAGGUGUAGUGACCAGCAAUCUAAAAGAAUCUGUAGUCUGUUGCUCCAAUAAACUGCAUUAUUUGUGAAUCUGUUGUGAAAGUUCUUAUUGAACUCCACCAGACUCACAGUAUUGAA